rnacentral:misc_RNA from 1 species
CUCAACUCUUCAAUUCCAAGGAAAAAUAUAGUAAUUCAAUCUCACAAGUUAUUUUUUGCUCUCAAAUUCGCUUCUAGACUUCGUUUGACACUACUAAAAGGGCAAAUUUUAACAUUUAUAUGGAACCUCUGUUUGGUCGCUAACAAAAACCAACUUCAACAGUAACAAGUCCUUAUUUAGUAGCAAAGUAUCUCAAUUAUAAACAAUAGGGUGGAUAAUUUCCUUUCCUCAGCUAUCAACUAGUCAAAACGAAGAGUAAAAUUUUUCUGUUCCUCUUUUCGUGCACUUUCUCAGAACCCAAACAGAG